GUGAAUCAUCGAAUCUUUGAACGCACAUUGCGCCCCCCGGUAUUCCGAGGGGCAUGCCUGUUCGAGCGUCAUUAUAACCUAUCCAGCCCUGCUGGGUCCUGGGCUCGCCGUCUGGCGGGCCCCAAAGCUAGUGGCGGUGCCGUCCGGUGCUGGAGCGUAGUACAACCCCUCGCUACCGGCCCUGAGCGCGCGCCCGCCAGCGACCCCCUUUCUAUGGUUGACCUCGGAUCAGGUAGGGAUACCCGCUGAACUUAAGCAUAUCAAUAAGCGGAGGA
rnacentral:misc_RNA from 1 species